AAAAUCAGAUUGUAAAAAAAAAACUCCUUGUAAGUUUUGUUUUUAUUAUUUGAUACUUUAUCUUUAAUAUAGGGGUUUUAUAAAAAUCGAUAAAAUAAAAGGAGUGAAGUGCAGUAAACCGAGUGAAGCCGAGGAAAUCGUAGAGAGAGAGAGAGAGAGGCAGGGCCGUCUUCUCUGCCUCUCUUGUCGAUCUCAGUUCGAGCGACGAGGUAGAGGUUGAUCGAGGAGAAAGAUCCAUGAAUUGCGUCAACAGACAGAAGCAAAAAAAAAAAAAAAGUACCUUCUCUCGCUCCGUCUCUGCGAUCGUGGUUUUAUUGCCUUCGAUUUGGUAAAGAUUUGGAGGCGGGGCGUGGACAGAAUCGCCGCAGAGUAAGUCGGGAUUUCGCAUAUUUGCUAGGGAAACCCAUAUUCAUUUUAAAUUUGUGAUAAAAAUCUAUGUUCUUUACAAAUUUAGGAUGAAAAUCAAAAUUUGAAAACAAUAUAAAAGAAAAAUGAUAUGUUCAACCUUACGAAUAGAUACAUAAAAUGAAUACAAAAACAACAAUAACAUUCUAUCAAACAUAUUCAUCAUCAACAAUAUCCAAAUAUCUUCCGCCAUAUCCAAACGAAUACAAACAUAAGCCAACAAUACAAUUAACAAUAAAAGUAAGUACAACCAAAUUUCAACCAACAACUAAGUUACCGUGUAUCCAAUAUUCCAAACAUGCUUCUAAGUUAUGAUAUUCAAAUUACAAUCUCAUACCAAAAUGUCUCAAACGGGAGAAAUAUAGAAUAGAAGAUACUCAUCCUCGGAAGAUCCUUUCAUUUCAAUCCUCUUCUUCUACUUGCAUCAUAAAAUAAAUAAAUAAAAAAUAUCAUUUUUAAUAAAAAUAAAUUUUUUUAUAAACUAACAAAAAUAAAUAUGUAAAAAUUUACUUAUUAUUACGUGGAUUUCCAACCACAAUCUUUCUUGGGCUCACCAAGCCUGUUUGAAAUAAGAAUAAUAAUAUUGAUCAAAAAUACAAAAAUGAAGAAUUUACAAACUUAAUAAAAUAACAAAUUUUUAAAAUACUAAUUACAAACAUUAAUGCAUUGUCAUUGUCGUCACCGUCAUUACUAGUACCGAAAGGAAUCUGACUUGAACUAGAGCUAAAUGUUAAAAAUGUUGAAUAAUAAAUUCUUAUUGUCAGUACAUUUCUUAAAAUUCCUUAUCACUUUGUGUCAUUUGUUGUAUUUCU